AUUGAACGCUGGCGGAAUGCUUUACACAUGCAAGUCGAGCGGCAGCACGGGGGCAACCCUGGUGGCGAGCGGCGAACGGGUGAGUAAUACAUCGGAACAUGCCCAGUCGUGGGGGAUAACACUUCGAAAGAAGUGCUAAUACCGCAUACGUCCUGAGGGAGAAAGCGGGGGAUCGCAAGACCUCGCGCGAUUGGAGUGGCCGAUGUCAGAUUAGCUAGUUGGUGGGGUAAAGGCCUACCAAGGCAACGAUCUGUAGCUGGUCUGAGAGGAUGAUCAGCCAACCGGGGACUGAGAACCGGCCCAGCCCCCUAGGGGGGGCAGGAGUGGGGAAUUUUGGACAAGGGGGGCAACCCUGACCCAGCCAUCCCGCGUGGGGGAAGAAGGCCUUCGGGUUGUAAAGCUCUUUCGGCAGGAACGAAACGGCGAGCUUUAAAAAAGCUUGCUAAUGCCGGUACCUGAAGAAGAAGCACCGGCUAACUCCGU
rnacentral:rRNA from 1 species